UCUACAGUCUCCAUCCCCCACUGUGGAGUGUCCUUGGACCUCCUGUGACAUCCCAGCUGCCAGAGCUGUGCCCGUGUUCCAUGUGGAACUGCCAGGGCCCAGCGACGAGCACAACGCAGCCAUUCCCCUGCUGCCAGCGAACCUUCAGCAGCUCGCAGCGAAUCCCUGUCACCUGGUCCAAGACAACCCUUCACCCUGCUCCAAGAGCACCUUUCCUCCUGCUCCCAGCACCCUAUCCUUACGAGCUCCCUGAUAGUCCGUCAGUCCGGAACUCUCCCUGCUGACUGGAUCUCAGCAUCGAUCCUGCAGGAUGUGCAGUUUUGUCCCAGUGAAGGGUCAGAGAGACAGUGAGGAAGCCAUGGAUGUGGACGUGGUGUUAGAUAUGGAGGAGAGUAUGGAUGUGGAUGUUGAAGAGACUUUGGAAGAGAUGGAAGUUGAUGUGGUGGACAAGAUCGAGGAUAUGGAAGUGGAUGAAGAAGAUGAGGUUGAAGACAUGAUUCUAGGAUGAGGAGAGUCCCCCAUCAGCAGCAGGUCAGGCCCGCCCUGGCCAUGCCCUGCCCCGGGGACAGCGGCGUGGGCCAGGCUGGGGGCACAGGGAACGGCCAGCAGGGCCCGACUGCACUGACCGUGCCCUUGCUUUUCUUGCAGGACUGACGGACGUGCCGGUCAUGGAGUGGCACUUUGUACAUAUGUUUGAUAUCUUCAUCAUUGUUUUGUAAAUAUAUUUUAUAGGUAAUAGGUUUUAUUAAGAAUAUAGGGUUUUUUAUAAAGAGAUUGUUGGUUUUUUUCUUAAGAAGAUUUUUGUUUUUCUAAAGAAGAUACUUGUUUUUUUAAGAAGAUAUUUUUAUUAGAAGAUUCUUGUUCUUAUUAAGAGUGUUUUUUAUAUUAGAAGGUUAUUGUCUUUACUAAGAAGAGUUUUUUAGGAAGUAGCUUGUUGUUUCUAGUAAGAAGAUAGUUGUUUUUAUAAGAAGAUAGUUGCUUUUUUAAAGAAGAUACUUAUUUUUAUUAGGAAGAUUUAUAUUUCUAUAUAGAAGAUUGUUGUUUUUAUAGAGAAGAUUUUUGUUUUUACUAAGAAGAUUUUUGUUUUUAUGAAGAUUCUUAUAAUGAAAAUAUAUUCUGUAUAGAUGUUUACUGUGUUGUUGUUUUAUUGUCCUUGUGUAACUCCAUUGUCUGGGGGUGCUGGCACGGCCCCCCCGGGCUGGGGGUACCUGUGCCCAGAGGGGUCCCCCUUGGGAAGGUGGCGGCCCUGGGCACUGCUGGUGUUGCUGGGCUGGGGCAGAGCGGUGUCCCCAAGAGCAAAGCUGUCCCCAGCAGAGAGGGGGGUCUGACAUGAGCGGCCCCUGCAGAGCUGCCCCAAAGCAGGCAG